rnacentral:rRNA from 1 species
GAUGAACGCUGGCGGCGUGCCUAAUACAUGCAAGUCGAGCGAACGGACGAGAAGCUUGCUUCUCUGAUGUUAGCGGCGGACGGGUGAGUAACACGUGGAUAACCUACCUAUAAGACUGGGAUAACUUCGGGAAACCGGAGCUAAUACCGGAUAAUAUUUUGAACCGCAUGGUUCAAAAGUGAAAGACGGUCUUGCUGUCACUUAUAGAUGGAUCCGCGCUGCAUUAGCUAGUUGGUAAGGUAACGGCUUACCAAGGCAACGAUGCAUAGCAGACCUGAGAGGGUGAUCGGCCACACUGGAACUGAGACACGGUCCAGACUCCUACGGGAGGCAGCAGUAGGGAAUCUUCCGCAAUGGGCGAAAGCCUGACGGAGCAACGCCGCGCGAGUGAUGAAGGUCUUCGGAUCGUAAAACUCUGUUAUUAGGGAAGAACAUAUGUGUAAGUAACUGUGCACAUCUUGACGGUACCUAAUCAGAAAGCCACGGCUAACUACGUG